rnacentral:rRNA from 1 species
UACGUAGGGAGCAAGCGUUGUCCGGAAUCAUUGGGCGUAAAGCGCGCGUAGGUGGCUUCGUAAGUCCGUUGUGAAAGUCAAAGGCUCAACCUUUGAAAGCCGAUGGAUACUGCGGAGCUAGAGUACGGAAGAGGCGAGUGGAAUCCUGGUGUAGCGGUGGAAUGCGCAGAUAUCAGGAGGAACACCAAUAGCGAAGGCAGCUCGCUGGGACGUUACUGACACUGAGGCGCGAAGCGUGGGGAGCGAAC